rnacentral:lncRNA from 1 species
GCUUCGAUGGACUGGUGUGGGCAUAAGGGUUCAGAGAAACAGAGGUUUUUUUUAAAAAAAAAUCCGCAGACGGAAGCUGCUGGGAGCUUCCCAUAGCCUAUGGGAAAGCUUUCAGAUUCAUACUCAUUCAUAAGGUCUUGACCUGUUCCAAGCUCAGUUCAUUUAUUUCUUCAGAUCUCUAGGGGCUGAAUUUGAUAGAAAAUUUGCUUCUCCCUUGUGUUCAGAUGAGUGUAGUAGUCUAGUAGAACAAAGUCAACAUUUUAUACUUAAUGUCUGAUUUUGGUGAGAAAUGAAAUGCAGUAAUGUCUGCUCAACCAGAGAAUCUCUGCUGAUCUUUUAAGUUUUACCAUAACUAAACCUAUGAUUAUUGCAGAAACAGGAACAAGUUAAAAGCUGGCACUCACUUCAAUAUCGAAGGAAGCAGGUCCUGAAGUUCAAUGGAACUCAUAUAAGAAACAUCCAUCACCUGGCACACCUCAUUGACAUGUGCAAAGACAAGUAUCUGGUUUUUGAGUUUGAAGACAACUAUGUGGCCGUGUUGGAGAGAGAAGCUUCGAAUUCGGCUUCUUUGUGCAUCCUCAAAGACUAUGGAAUUCCCUCAGAAAGAUCCGCUGAUCUGCGUGAGCCAUAUGUAGAUCCAGUACAUGACAACGAAGCACUUGACCAAGGUUUUGGAGACAGCCCUGUGUCAAAUCUAGAAAUUGGCUUCGAUGGACUGGUGUGGGCAUAAGGGUUCAGAGAAACAGAGGUUUUUUUUAAAAAAAAAUCCGCAGACGGAAGCUGCUGGGAGCUUCCCAUAGCCUAUGGGAAAGCUUUCAGAUUCAUACUCAUUCAUAAGGUCUUGACCUGUUCCAAGCUCAGUUCAUUUAUUUCUUCAGAUCUCUAGGGGCUGAAUUUGAUAGAAAAUUUGCUUCUCCCUUGUGUUCAGAUGAGUGUAGUAGUCUAGUAGAACAAAGUCAACAUUUUAUACUAAUGUCUGAUUUUGGUGAGAAAUG